rnacentral:rRNA from 1 species
AUGCUAAACGUUGACGGUGGCCUCUCUAGGGAUGGCACAAGAGGCGCGGCGGCGGCGGUGUGCAGGGACCAAAAUGGCUCAUUCCUGGGUGCAUCCGCUGUUGUCUUCGAAGGGCUCGUGGAUCCACCAACGCUUGAUGCUCAUGCUUGCAAGCAAGCUCUUUCACUCGCAGAUGAUUUAUACGUCGAUUCCCUCUGCAUCGCUUCGGACUGUGCGGAAGUUGUUGCAAGCAUCAACACUGGUGUUCCCUCUUGCUAUGUAACUAUCCUGCGGGAGAUUAAGAGCGUGUUUGGUUCAAGUUUUGAACAAUAG